UAACCUGCCCAAGAGAUCGGGAUAACACCUGGAAACAGAUGCUAAUACCGGAUAACAACAGAUGAUGCCUAUCAACUGUUUAAAAGAUGGUUCUGCUAUCACUCUUGGAUGGACCUGCGGUGCAUUAGCUAGUUGGUAGGGUAACGGCCUACCAAGGCGAUGAUGCAUAGCCGAGUUGAGAGACUGAUCGGCCACAUUGGUACUGAGACACGGCCCAAACUCCUACGGGAGGCAGCAGCG
rnacentral:rRNA from 1 species